GACACGAGCCAUGAACAAAGAUUUGAUCUGUCCCCAGUGAAUUCGAAAUGCAUACCAGCAAAUCAACAGGUUCUUCUGUUGAUAUCAGUGGUGGUGUUUCUUCCUUUUUAGGCUUUUCAGGUUUCUGCUUGGUUUCGCGAUACUCCUGCAGGUAACAAAGGCAAACACUAUAACCAAAUUGGUGAAGCUAAGUUCUCACCAGCCUGUUAUUUGGCAUUGAAUCUGUGUGAGGUGCUUCUCUAAUGUAUUCCUCCAUGGUUACCAGAAACGAUGCAGGAGGCUGCAAAUUAAAGAUCAAGAAUGAAGAGAGAUCA